rnacentral:lncRNA from 1 species
UGAAUUGGUGAGCACUGAGCACUGAGCAACACCUACUCCACACUUCGCCAUGGCUCGGUCUUGCUGCCCUCUCUCCCUUACCACGGAAUCCCCCACUACAGAAGUGAAAGAAGGGUGCAAGUUGUUGUUGGAGUUGUCAAUAAAUGAUGAAGUGGGUUCUUCAGCAGGCAUAGCCAAAGUGAAGUUGUCGGUGAGAGCGAGGAGCAACGGGCCCCUGCAGUGCGUCAGUGAUGGCAUGUACGCUUUCGUGGACAGGGAGGAUAGAUCUUGUAGGUUCCAGUGCUGGAUGAAGGGGUUCGUAGUGGAGCAAGACAGUUGUGUAUUUGGGGAACUGGAGGUGGAUGGCCACGUGUAUGUUAACAGGGGUGUGAAGGUGGUGGAGGGGAAGACGGUGGUGAGCGGCGAAGCGCGGAUGGUGAAGGGAAAGUUGAAGGUAUAUGGUGUCGCGUACAUCAUUCCCGUAGGCCCUAGUCUUAGGGUAUGGAGGGGCUUAGUGGUGAAGAUGUGAGUGGUGUUAGGUUGGUGAGAUGGUGGUGUCGGUCAAGAGGCUGUGGUGAUGUGUUCUUGAUGUAAUGGUUUGUGGCGAGGCGUUAGCACUGAUGAUGAUGUGUGGUUAUGGUGAUGAGGCUGUGUUGGGUAUAUUUUCUAUUUUUUAUUGAUAGCAAGAAGCCUUUAAUUUAUCUUAUUUAUGUUGAUUCCCAGGCCCAUUGCCUCUGUGAACUUUAAUUCAGUUUAAUUACAGUUUCGAAGAAUUUAAUUAUGAAGUAAUGCAUGUAUAAUUUUGUCAAAUAAUUGUCUUUUAUUUUUUAGGAGUAGAUGCAUGUGUUUAAUUAGCUAAUAUCUCAUUUUAUUUACUUCAUCUAUUUAUAUCAAUUAGGUUAUUAUCAAUAGAAUUUUGAAAGGAGAUGUCCCGUGUCAUAUUGUGGUGAGUGUUACUAAUAGGCGAGUUGAGUUUGUGUAUACUUCAUUGUGUAACGUCUUCAUUUGGUUAAGGAGAAGUGAAGUUUUAAUGGGUUAUUUUCUAUGAUAUUUAGAGCUCAGUGUUCUCAAUCUUGUGAAAAGAAAAAGGAAAAGUGUUUAUCUUUUAUGUGAAUCUCGAGUAUAUACUUAUUAUUUAGUUAGAUGCUGAGAAAUGUAAUGUCUAGGCUAACUAAUAAUGUCUUUCUAAUGUAAUUCACAUGCUAGCCUCCUUAAGUAACUCAUAAUUUUAAAUAUUAAGACGAGGCAGUAAUAUUUCCGGCUCUUAAUGCCCAACAUACUUGGGGGCCUGGUGGAAAGUGAGGUUUUCAGGUGGGGAAAGGUAAAAUAUGGUCAACUGUCACCACUUACUGCAAAAAUAAUGUGAUGAUUACUUGCUGUUAUGAUGAGUGCCAUCUUUGAUACUAUAGAAAAAUUCUCCAGAAAUUCUUAGUCUAUACCUCCAUAGGGACACUAAUCUAACCUAGCAUUACAUAUUCUAACCUAAUCUAGUAUUACCCAACUUAACCUAGGUAAGAUUAGGUAAUGCUAGGCUAAUUUGUUUCCUUAAGGAUAGACUACUGAUUUCAGAUUUUCUAUAGUAUUAAAGUUGGAGCUCACCAUUACAACAGCAGGAAUUAUUCCCAUGUAUUUGUUGUGGUAGUGUGGUAAGAGUAGAAAUUUAACCACUAGUUUUUCCCACCUCUAAACCUGAAAAUCACACUUUCCCACUAGGUCCUAAGUUUGUUGAUAGCUAAGAGCCAAAACCAUUAGUGAAUAGAGAAGUGUGCCUUGUCUUAAUAUUUACUGAAAGGAAAUUAUAAUGUAUUGAGGUGUCAGUUUCUAAAGAGCAUUGUUAUAAUAGUGAACAAUGUAAUUAUUGGGUAUUUUGAGUAAUAUGCAAUACAGCAUAGUUUAAUUUUUUUUUGCAUGCAUGUAAUAUUUUCUGAAGGAAUGUCAAGACUGAAAUUAUUUUCAACUUAAAGUUCUUAUUUGGUAUUAAUUGUGGGCAUGUAGGCUAGGGCACUACAGCCUCAUAGUGCCUUUUAGGGCCUGGUUGCUGAUGUUGGCCAAUCAGAUUUCAUUGUUGUGCUUGGUUACACUCAUGGGCAGAUAGUGUAACAAAGCUCACUUCAACUCUACCUGUUUUCCAUCACUCCCAUGUCUUUUAAUCGUGAUGGAUUCUUAUCACUUCAGGAGGCAAGACUGGGGGAAGUGGUGAACAGUUGUGAGUGAUUGGUGGCCUUGACUGUAUGAGGUGGUUGGUGGGAGUGACAAGGGGAAUGGUAGAGAUGCCUGUAGGUGUUAGUGGAGCAAUCAUGGUAGUGGUGGAUUGUGCAUGGUAAAAAGUUAGCAGCUACAAGGAUAUUGGUGAUGUUGAUGGCAAACAUGAGGGUGAGAAGAACAGGUGUACUAAGGAAACAUACAUCCUUAUUACCAAGGGGAAUACUAACAACACAAAUCAGCGUCUACAAACAACCUGUUCCAGUAACCACGGUAAUUACGGUUGUGAAGUUGUAAUCCAUGAGCCGUGGUGGUACUAUAUGAUGUGAUCACAAGCUGUCCAUUCAUCUUAAAUGGAGGCACAGAUGCACAUUGUUGUGAGGAAUUGACACCUACCACCACCAGCAGGGCAUGCGUGUUUUUAAGUUCAAAGUGGUGAUGCUCUGGCCAGGAGCUGGCUACGUAGCUGAUUAUAGAGAGGAAGACAAGCUGAGGAGAUAUGGUCAUCCCAGUGAGAGGACACGUUGGAGAGGUGGGGUGUUGAGAGGGAAGGCGUCGUGCUAUGACGCCACCUCUGUUAUGUAGUCACGUCGGGGUGGCGGUCUGUGCAUCUCGUGUUCCGAGCUGAAGCCGUGUCUGUUACCUAAAGCCUUAUUGGCCGUGAUAGUGUUUACGUGGACGCCGGUUGAGGAUAUGGUGAGCCUGAAGACAGUGAAGUUAGUGUGGUUGUCGCGAAGUGUGGGUAACAAGGUAGUCUGGUUGAAGGACGGUGUUUUGAUAGAGGCAGGAUUGAGUUUAUGGAAGGCUAGGAGGGCUGAUAUUGUUUCCCUUUGUAUCUGUGUCUCUUUCUGUCUGUCUCUGUCUCUGUCUUUCUGUCCGUCUUUGUCUGUCUUUCUCCUCCCCCACAGUUUCUCUCUCUCUCUCUCUCUCUCUCUCUCUCUCUCUCUCUCUCUCUCUCUCUCUCUCUCUCUCUCUCUCUCUCUCUCUCUCUCUCUCUCUCUCUCUCUCUCUCCUUUCUAGCUCCAUUCUCACAGCAGUUGGCAUGAUGUGUUAUCUUAUAAUAUUGAUUGAUUGAUUUCAGUUGUCAUGUAUUAUGCAUUGUCCCCAGUCGAGGAUUUUUUUUAUGUAUGAAUCAUGCAUAUUAAUUUUGCGAAUAUUCUUAUUUU